GACGAACGCUGGCGGCGUGCCUAACACAUGCAAGUCGAACGGAGAAAUUCAGCAAUGGAUUUCUUAGUGGCGAACGGGUGAGUAACGCGUAGGUGACCUGCCCCGAAGUGGGGGAUAACUGCCCGAAAGGGUGGCUAAUACCGCAUGUGGCGACGUGUCCAUUCACGUCAUCAAAGCCGCGAGGCGGUUCGGGAGGGGCCUGCGUCCGAUUAGCUCGUUGGUGGGGUAACGGCUCACCAAGGCGACGAUCGGUAGGUGGUCUGAGAGGACGAUCACCCAGACUGGGACUGAGACACGGCCCAGACUCCUACGGGAGGCAGCAGUCGGGAAUUUUGCUCAAUGGGGGAAACCCUGAAGCAGCAACGCCGCGUGCGGGAUGAAGGCCUUCGGGUUGUAAACCGCUUUUACCAGGGACGAUAAUGACGGUACCUGAUGAAUAAGUCACGGCUAACUACGUGCCAGCCGCCGCGGUAAUAC
rnacentral:rRNA from 1 species